UGGACAGGUAGAGGGACACAUCCUAUGACAGGGCUGCUAUAAGAUGGACAGGUAGAGGGACACAUCCUAUGACAGGGCUGCUAUAAGAUGGACAGGUAGAGGGACACAUCCUAUGACAGGGGUGCUAUAAGGUGGACAGGUAGAAGGACACAUCCUGUGACAGGG